CUUCAUUUUUUUUUUAUUCUGUAUACUCAGCUACCAAAUCAGGUUAGAGGCAGCAACCAAAACCACACCAGUUUAUUAAAAUCUAGAGUUCAUAUUCGUGUCCCAUCUGGAAGAUCCCCCAAGUAAUUUUGAACUGUAAAACUUCAUAUAUGGUGCUUAAAAUCUUCUUCUUCAGCUGCACCUCAUGAUGGUGGUGGUUGUUGCUGUAUUUCCCAUGCUCUGAAAACAUGAACAAAAAGUGCAGAUGGUCCAGUCCUGGGCUCUGUUUACCUUGAGAAGCUGAUUAUUUUGGUGGAGGAUGUUACACAAUAUUUUUAAAUGGGAAGGUUUUGUUUAUGUUUCUUUUCUUCUGCUGCAGUGAUGCAGUUGAUUGUUCCAGUCUCAGGACAGACUGUAGUCACAGCUGAUCUUGCCGCCCCCAUCUUACACAACUAGUGCCCCUCUGAGCAACAAACAAUCUUCUUCUGAGCUCCUGUCAAGGCUGGCUCCACCAUUCACACCUCUCUGCUACAAAAGUGCUUGCUACAGUUCAAUAGUGGAGAGAAGAAACAGCUGGUCUGUGCAUUUGUGGGAGAGCAGCAUUUAAUAAGCAGUGACAAGUGGCAGAAGGAAGAUCAAUCAUCACUUUCCACACUGCUCUCCAGGAUUUGAAGUGGUUUUAUGCAGGACCUGGAGGAAAUGGAAUAUGCUUGGAAAGGUGAUUCUAACAGCUAACAACUGUAAGGAUUUUCCCCAAACGGAGGAACUUUUUGUGGACCCUUGAGCUUGUGGGUAUCCAGUUUUUCUAUACAAUCACUAACCCAAUCCUCCUUGACAGAAGGCAGCUCUUCUUUUCUCUAGACUUUCUCUCUUGCCUCUAGGGUUUGGGAUUCCUGAGGGCUGACCUUAGCAGUAAAGACUGAAGGAAAGGAACCAUUCAGUAACUCCAUCUUCUCUUAUGUCUUGUCAGCUGAGCACCAGUGGGUCAGUUCUCCACAGUGUUGUCCAAAUCAAUGCCAGGCUUAACCUGUGCCAAAGGACAAAAAGAACCUAAUAGGGAAUGAAAAUAUUUUUAUUUUUUUUCCCAAUAGAAGUGUGAGGAGGGUGGUGGGAAUCUUGUGAAUAAAAGGUUCUGGGGAAUUAUUUAAUGUCAUGCUUAUAGAUCGAGGGCUUUAAUAAAAUAAAAAGAUCAGAGAAGACUAUGUGCACCUUGAUGAUGAAUGAAUAUGCCUGCUUAGUACUUCAGGGAUGGAUUAAGCUGUUGAAAAAGCAUUCAACAUUGGCUAAAGGACUGUAAUA